UUGCCAGACUCCUACGGGAGGCAGCAGUGGGGAAUAUUGCACAAUGGGCGAAAGCCUGAUGCAGCAACGCCGCGUGAAGGAAGAAGGGUUUCGGCUCGUAAACUUCUAUCAACAGGGACGAAAGAAAUGACGGUACCUGACUAAGAAGCCCCGGCUAACUACGUGCCAACAGCCGCGGUAAUACGUAGGGGGCAAGCGUUAUCCGGAUUUACUGGGUGUAAAGGGGGCGCAGACGGCAGCGCAAGCCAGGAGUGAAAGCCCGGGGCCCAACCCCGGGACUGCUCUUGGAACUGCGCGGCUGGAGUGCAGGAGGGGCAGGCGGAAUUCCUGGUGUAGCGGUGAAAUGCGUAGAUAUCAGGAGGAACACCGGUGGCGAAGGCGGCCUGCUGGACUGCGACUGACGUUGAGGCCCGAAAGCGUGGGGAGCAAACAGGAUUAGAUACCCCCGUAA
rnacentral:rRNA from 1 species